rnacentral:rRNA from 1 species
UACGAAGGGGGCUAGCGUUGUUCGGAAUUACUGGGCGUAAAGCGUAUGCAGGCGGACUUUUAAGUCGGGGGUGAAAUCCCGGGGCUCAACCUCGGAACUGCCUUUGAUACUGCAAAUCUCGAGUCCGGAAGAGGUGAGUGGAAUUCCUAGUGUAGAGGUGAAAUUCGUAGAUAUUAGGAAGAACACCAGUGGCGAAGGCGGCUCACUGGUCCGGUACUGACGCUGAGGUGCGAAAGCGUGGGGAGCAAACAGG